rnacentral:rRNA from 1 species
AUUGAACGCUGGCGGCAGGCUUAACACAUGCAAGUCGAGCGAGCGGCGGACGGGUGAGUAAUGUCUGGGAAACUGCCUGAUGGAGGGGGAUAACUACUGGAAACGGUGGCUAAUACCGCAUACUAUCAGAUGAGCCCAGAUGGGAUUAGCUAGUAGGUGGGGUAAUGGCUCACCUAGGCGACGAUCCCUAGCUGGUCUGAGAGGAUGACCAGCCACACUGGGACUGAGACACGGUCCAGACUCCUACGGGAGGCAGCAGUGGGGAAUAUUGCACAAUGGGCGCAAGCCUGAUGCAGCCAUGCCGCGUGUGUGAAGAAGGCCUUCGGGUUGUAAAGCACUUUCAGUGAGGAGGCGUUACUCACAGAAGAAGCACCGGCUAACUCCGUGCCAGCAGCCGCGGUAAUAC